GACAGAGGGUGCAAACGUUGUUCGGAAUUACUGGGCGUAAAGCGUGUGUAGGCGGUCUCUUAAGUCGGAUGUGAAAGCCCCGGGCUCAACCCGGGAAGUGCACUCGAAACUGGGAGGCUAGAGUACUGGAGAGGUUGGUGGAAUUCUCGGUGUAGAGGUGAAAUUCGUAGAUAUCGAGAGGAACACCGGUGGCGAAGGCGGCCAACUGGACAGAUACUGACGCUGAGGAGCGAAAGCGUGGGGAGCGAACAGG
rnacentral:rRNA from 1 species